GUGAAAUGAUGAUUCUGUUUAUCCAUUCGCUGAGUACGCUGCACUGACCUUCUUCCCGGCUUCAGUUCCUGUUCUGGGAACUUGGGCUGAGUAGCCUCAAUGCCCUGCUGUCUGCAGUGUUCUAUUGCGGAUUGUUUGUGCGUUGGUGGACUACUAUUGGUAAGAAUGGCUAGUGUCAGCAGGGAUGGGUCCCUCUGGGUUCCAUCUCACCGAGAUGAGUGGUGCAAAUCUGAUCAC
rnacentral:snoRNA from 1 species